rnacentral:rRNA from 1 species
UACGUAGGGAGCAAGCGUUGUCCGGAAUCAUUGGGCGUAAAGCGCACGUAGGCGGCCCUGUAAGUCCGUUGUGAAAGUCAAAGGCUCAACCUUUGAAAGCCGAUGGAUACUGCAGGGCUAGAGUCCGGAAGAGGCGAGUGGAAUUCCUGGUGUAGCGGUGGAAUGCGCAGAUAUCAGGAGGAACACCAAUAGCGAAGGCAGCUCGCUGGGACGGUACCGACGCUAAGGUGCGAAAGCGUGGGGAGCGAACAGG